GGGGGUGGGGGUGAGGGGUGAGGGGUGGGGGAGGCGGGUGGCGGAGGCGGGACAUGGGAGGGAAAAGCCACUGGUGGAUUCCUCUGGAUGGCAGGUUGGAGGAUGAAACCAAGGGAAGACAGGACUGAAGGCCACGCAGGGCAGGACUCAGAACCUGAGGAUGCAGGAGCCUCGGAGACCAGGGAACGUUCUGUUGGAGGCAAUCAACAAUCCCUGGGAACUCACCACAGGAGCCAGAGUCCAAGGCAGCUUCCCUGGCCUUUGCCCACCCGGGAAAAUUUGUCUUCCCUACUAGGAGGUAACCUUAGUGAUCUAUGCAUUAAAGAAUCUCAGGGCAGCCUGCAGUCAUGGGUCGUCUUGGGAACAGGAGAGGAAGGUUGGGUAGUCAUUACCUUAAGUACCAGAAUAGCUUCCCUAGGAAGCUAGAACACAGCAGCCGCUGUCUGCGGGAGAGGCAAGGCCCGGACCUCAGCAGCGGGCAGACAAUUGUUAAGGGAGCUCUAGUCUCUCCCUCAGCUUCUGUCUCUGAAGGGAAGAAGGAAAAGACACAAGAACUGGGGGAUGGGUGGGGGUGGGGGGGCGGCAACCGUCCUCAGCUCUUCCUGCACGUGGCACAUGUUGUUAACUCCUGAUGUGGAUGUAUCAAAAGGGAAACACGGAAGACAGCAGAAAAAUCUGACAGCCACACACCCUGCAGCCAGGGCCCUGGGAGGCCACCCCACUGCCACCAGGUGCCAGAGAAUCGACGAGAAGAGGGGGCGCUCCGGGCGCCAGAGGGGAUGAGGCUGGCUGCCAGCUCUCCUCCCAGACCAGAGCUCGGAGCCGAAAAGGCUCUCAAAACAGACAGAUGUUACCCUCUGGAGGAGAGGGAAGCCUGGUGCCAGAGAAGAGGGAAGAAUCCCACUGAAAAUGGACAUGCACACGGCCCAAAGGAGAAACCCAAGAGUCCCGGAGAUGCCCCCGCCCCCGCGCAGGCUCCACCUCCUUGAUGGAUACCCAUACUCUGGUGAAUACACAGUUGGAGAUAGAAUGAUUUUCAAGUUUUAAUUAAAAAAAAAAAACAGAAAUUAAUUUUAUGUGUUUCCUUAAGCUAUGUGAGUAGCCCACAGAAGCCGUCGCUGUUGAAGGGUUAGCUGCCCCCCCCCCCCCCCUCCAGGACACCUCAGGACCCGGGGCUGGGCCUGCACUCGGUCUGGAGAGGGAUCUGCCUGAACUCCUCUUGCAGGGAUUCUGUGAUCACACUCAGCGGCCGAACUGGCGCGCAAGAACCUUAAGAUGACGGGCUAUUAACAUUAGUUCUUUUCCUCUCCAGUGUCUCAAUCCUGACUGUAUUACCUUAAAGUCUGAGAUCCUGGGAUCUGCUCCUUGGCCUGGAAUCCAGGAUCAGGCCAUCCGGAUUUUCCAGUGUCAUUGUCUUUAAGAUAGUUUUACCCACAGAAGCCAGAAUUCCUCUUCCCAGAUUAGGGAUUCUCAGAUCUAUUAUUUUUUUCUUCUAUUCCCUCAAUAGUCAUGGUCAGCUUGUGAAAAGUUUUCAACAAUGCACUACAUGUAGGCAUGUCAAUUGUCCCUCUAAACUUUCCUUCUCCAAAAUACCAGUAGAGAACAUCAUUGGAUUUGAUUGUGCCUUAAUAUUUUUAGCAUCCUCCAGAGGGGUUUUAUACUGUUAUGUAUUGUCAUCUAUAUCCUGCCUAAAUUACCAUAAAUGUUAAUAAAAAUAAUUCUUAAUAAAGUUGGAUACA
rnacentral:lncRNA from 12 species